UAAUAUGAAACAAUUAUUUGUAUUUUAAUUUCGACUUAAAAAUUAGGAUUUAAAAUCCCAUAUUUU
rnacentral:tRNA from 1 species